rnacentral:pre_miRNA from 1 species
GUAGUACUCCCUCCGUUCGGAAUUACUUGUCGUGAAAAUGGAUGUAUCUAGACGUAUUUUAGUUCUAGAUACAUCUAUUUCCGAGACAAGUAAUUCCGAACGGAGGGAGUAUAAA